rnacentral:rRNA from 1 species
AAACCGUGUGGCAAUCCAAAGGCGUGAUGCGGACCGAAUCAAAGUAGGGAAGUGUGUGAGCCAUGAAUCAAGAAAAGCCGCUAUUGUUUUUAAGAUACCCGUACCGUAAACCGACACAGGUGGAUGAGGAGAGAAUCCUAAGGCCGGCGGAAGAAGCAUUGUUAAGGAACUCGGCAAAAUGACCCCGUAACUUCGGGAGAAGGGGUGCCAACGAGAGUUGGCCGCAGAGAAUAGGCUCAAGCAACUGUUUAGCAAAAACACAGGUCUAUGCAAAACCGUAAGGUGAGGUAUAUGGGCUGACGCCUGCCCGGUGCUGGAAGGUUAAGGGGAGAGGUUAGCGCAAGCGAAGCUUUGAAUUUAAGCCCCAGUAAACGGCGGCCGUAACAAUAACGGUCCUAAGGUAGCGAAAUUCCUUGUCGGGUAAGUUCCGACCCGCACGAAAGGCGUAAUGAUUUGAGCGCUGUCUCGACAAUGCAUCCGGUGAAAUUGAAGUACCAGUGAAGAUGCUGGUUACCCGCGCCAGGACGGAAAGACCCCAUGUAGCUUUACUCCAGUUUGGUACUGGGGUCCGGCAGUGCAUGUACAGGAUAGGUGGGAGGCUGUGAACCUGGAACGCCAGUUUCAGGGGAGCCAUUGUUGGGAUACCACCCUUGUGCUGCUGGGCUUCUAACCAGCGGCCUUUAUCAGGCCGGGGGACAAUGCCAGACGGGGAGUUUGACUGGGGCGGUCGCCUCCGAAAGGGUAUCGGAGGCGCUCAAAGGUUCCCUCAGAAUGGUCGGAAACCAUUCGAAGAGUGCAAAGGCAGAAGGGAGCUUGACUGCGACACCGACGGGUGGAGCAGGUACGAAAGUAGGACUUAGUGAUCCGGUGGUAUUAAGUGGGAAUGCCAUCGCUCAACGGAUAAAAGCUACCCUGGGAUAACAGGCUUAUCACUCCCAAGAGUUCACAUCGACGGAGUGGUUUGGCACCUCGAUGUCGGCUCAUCGCAUCCUGGGGCUGUAGUAGGUCCCAAGGGUUGGGCUGUUCGCCCAUUAAAGCGGUACGCGAGCUGGGUUCAGAACGUCGUGAGACAGUUCGGUCCCUAUCCGGCGUGGGCGUAGGAUAUUUGAGAGGAGCUGUCCUUAGUACGAGAGGACCGGGAUGGACUGACCUCUGGUGUACCGGUUGAACCGCCAGGUUCACGGCCGGGUAGCCAAGUCGGGAAGGGAUAAACGCUGAAGGCAUCUAAGCGUGAAGCCCCCCUCAAGAUGAGAUAUCCCAUUCGAAAGAAGUAAGACCCCUUGAAGACGACGAGGUAGAUAGGGCAGAGGUGGAAGUGCCGUAAGGCAUGGAGCUGACUGUUACUAAUCGGUCGAGGGCUUGACAG